GACGAACGCUGGCGGCGUGCUUAACACAUGCAAGUCGAACGGAAAGGCCCCUUUGUGGGUGCUCGAGCGGCGAACGGGCGGGUAACUCGCGAGUAACCUGCCCUUCACUUCCGGAUAACUUCCUUCAACUGGGGCUAAUACCGGCUAGGAAUCCUUGCUUCCUGCUUGGGGUUGGUAAGCUUCGGCGGUUGGGGAUGGACUCGCGGCUUAUCAGCUUGUUGGUGGGGUAGUGGCUUACCAAGGCUUUGACGGGUAGCCGGCCUGAGAGGGCGACCGGCCACAUUGGGACUGAGAUACGGCCCAGACUCCUACGGGAGGCAGCAGUGGGGAAUAUUGCACAAUGGGCGGAAGCCUGAUGCAGCAACGCCGCGUGCGGGAUGACGGCCUUCGGGUUGUAAACCGCUUUCGGCAGGGGCGAAGCGUUUGUGACGGUACCUGCAGAAGAAGCACCGGCUAACUACGUG
rnacentral:rRNA from 1 species